UGCCCCGUGGCUGAGUUGGUUACAGCGUCCGACUGUUAUUCCCUUGUGAGAGGGUUCGCUAUCGGAAGGUCGUGAGUUCGAGCCUCACCGGGGCAG